UUGAGAGUCGUAACAUUUUCCACACGAGGCCAACCUUAUCAUCUCUCAUUUUUUUCCAUCCUGCAGCUACUGCUGCCGUCGCAGCCAUAGAUCUGACGUACGCAGCAUGACAGUGCAAAGCUGCCCAACUUAGCGUUUAAUAUUGUUUACAUUUCGUACAUUUGAUUUUGGCAUUCGAAAAUCUGAUACAGUUGUACUUGGAGUAUCAAAAUUCGAAAACUUGACUUGAAACAAAAAAGGGCUUCUAUUAAUUCUUCUACUGGUAUUAUUCUGACUUUUCAAGCAAUAUUUCUUUUGCCAGCAGUUCUUUUUUUUUUCCUACCAGUAUUGAUUUUUCUAUCACGUUAUUGUUUUUACUUUUUUCAAGCAUGUGAUGCAUGAUAAUUCUUGGCUCUACUCACAAGUAAGAUCUUUCUAGUGGCCAAAGAUCCUUCUUGCAUCCAUUAAGUGCUGUUAUAGUGCAUAAUAAGAGGCAACAGAGAAUCCCUAUAGAUCAGGACGGACACUUGUAUCAGUUGUGACAAGUGGAAGUAAAAGAUUCUUUUGUGUAACUGAUAGUGCUCCUCCUGUGAGAAGAAAAAUGGAGUGCUCUUGCGGAUGUGCUGGUAUUUAUAAUGCACCCAUAGCCUUGUCAGUUAAAGCAAAGAUUUUUGAAGACGUAAUUUCUUUGGAAAUCUCCUUUUCCUAAUAUUGCAGAACUAUUGGAGUGAUUAGCAGGAUUCUAGUGUUGAUGUUAAAUUAUAGCAACAGAUCUUUCAAGUACUUUGUGCUAGUUUUGUGUUGUAGACAAUGUGAACCUGUUUUAUGUAAUGAUGUCACAGUAUAAAUAGUAUUGCUAGCUUGUUAAACACUUUCUUAGGCUGGCUUUGAUUGCACAUGUAAUUAUUAUUGUGGAACUUGGUUGCUUUCCUGUUAAGUGCUCACCUAAGGUUAAUGGGUU